rnacentral:rRNA from 1 species
GAUGAACGCUGGCGGUAUGCUUAACACAUGCAAGUCGAACGGACUCUUCGGAGUUAGUGGCGGACGGGUGAGUAACGCGUGAGAAUCUGGCUUUGGGUUCGGGACAACCACUGGAAACGGUGGCUAAUACCGGAUGUGCCGAGAGGUAAAAGAGAAAUUGCCUGAAGAUGAGCUCGCGUCUGAUUAGCUAGUUGGUGAGGUAAAGGCUCACCAAGGCAGCGAUCAGUAGCUGGUCUGAGAGGAUGACCAGCCACACUGGGACUGAGACACGGCCCAGACUCCUACGGGAGGCAGCAGUGGGGAAUUUUCCGCAAUGGGCGAAAGCCUGACGGAGCAAUACCGCGUGAGGGAAGAAGGCUCUUGGGUUGUGAACCUCUUUUCUUAGGGAAGAACAAAAUGACGGUACCUAAGGAAUCAGCAUCGGCUAACUCCGU